UACGUAGGUGGCAAGCGUUAUCCGGAAUUAUUGGGCGUAAAGCGCUCGCAGGCGGUCUUUUAAGUCUGAUGUGAAAGCCCACGGCUCAACCGUGGAGGGUCAUUGGAAACUGGGGAACUUGAGUGCAGAAGAGGAAAGUGGAAUUCCACGUGUGGCGGUGAAAUGCGUAGAGAUGUGGAGGAACACCAGUGGCGAAGGCGACUUUCUGGUCUGCAACUGACACUGAGGCGCGAAAGCGUGGGUAGCAAACAGG
rnacentral:misc_RNA from 1 species